GGGCCGGUCGUCUAGUGGGAGGAUGCCGCCCUUGCACGGCGGUGGUCCCGGGUUCGAAUCCCGGCCGGUCCACCA
rnacentral:tRNA from 2 species